rnacentral:sRNA from 1 species
GAGUCAGCUAGGCCCCUUCCUCCUCCAGUGCCUGUCUACCUAUGUUUGAUGCUUGGGGCUAGAAAGACUGACCUUGUAGCCCCUCACCUUCUCUCCCCAAUGCACUGGGCUGGUUCAGCAGCUGACCAAUGAGGGUCAUGCUUGCAUACUGGCCUUGGGUGAGUGGCUCAGGAACAGUUUGCAAGACCGUGUUGAAGCUACUUGUAACUAGACCAUUUUCCCAGCUUGACCAUGAGCUUCUUCAAGGCAUCUCUUCUCAGUCUCCACUGUAGCUCUGUGGGGAUGCUAACCCUGGCUUCCAAGGAUCUGAAGAGGAAGCUGCGGCUGUGACUGUCCCUUUUCGGUCUGUCUUCAUCCUGCCUGACUCACGGGUCUCCUGUCCUCCUGCAUAGCUUGCGGUGGUGAGGUGAUGGCAGCCAUGGACACAGGCCAGAGAGCUGACCCAAGCAAUCCUGGUGACAAGGAAGGGGACCUUCAAGGGCUGUGGCAGGAACUCUACCAGCUCCAGGCUAAGCAGAAGAAGCUCAAGAGAGAAGUCGAGAAGCACAAGCUUUUUGAAGACUAUCUGAUUAAGGUCCUUGAGAAAAUCCCCGAGGGCUGCACGGGAUGGGAGGAGCCGGAGGAGGUGCUGGUGGAGGCCACGGUGAAGCACUACGGGAAGCUCUUCACAGCCAGCCAGGACACGCAGAAGCGCCUCGAGGCCUUCUGCCAGAUGAUCCAGGCUGUCCACCGGAGCCUGGAGUCUCUGGAGGAGGACCACAGGGCUCUCAUAGCCUCAAGAUCCGGCUGUGUCAGCUGCAGAAGAAGUGCUACCGCAAGCAGGAGCAGUGGUGGCAGCUGAAGCACAGCAUCACUUACCAGAAGGACAUUGACUUUGACACACACACCAGCAGCAGCUAUAAUGAUCAGCUGCUCGGCUACAUGCAAAUGACCAUCACCAACAUGGCCCGGCAGUGCUGCCCCUCUGCCCACGGCGUGCCCAAGAGCAUGGAUCUCUUCUCCAAGCUCGAUCUGAUUAAGGAGUUCAUGUUGGACAAAAUGGAGACUGUAAGACUGAUCGCACUGCUCACGGAACCCAAAGUGUGCUGGUCAUGGGACAGCUUCGGGGACCAGUGGCUCAGAAGACACCCCAAACCCUUCAGGAAAUGUCCAAGGAGGCGGGUUUCCACCCCCAGGACCCCCUUUCCCAGCCCCCAUGCUUCAGAGUGCUCCGGCCUGUACUGACCAGCCUGCGCCUUGCAGGCCCCAUGGCAUCACGACCUCUCCUUACCUGCC